rnacentral:misc_RNA from 1 species
GCUGAACCGACUGGAGAGCCAGGUCGACAACGGCGGUGGCGGCGCCUGGGAGUACCUCUCCCUUGUCCGCAAGCUCCGCGCCCGCCGCUCCGACAAGGUCCUCAAGCAUGGCCUCCACAUCCUCAACGAUCCCCGGGCCCGAUCCAAGCUCGGAGUCGAAGAGUGGACUCUGUAUGAGCAGGUGGCCAUUGCUUCUAUGGAUUGCCAGCAACUCGAUAUUGCAAAGGACUGUAUUACAACUCUCUCAAAGAAAUUUCCAGGCAGCAUGAGGGUUGGUAGACUGGAAGGCAUGCUGCUUGAAGCAAAGGGAGCAUGGGCUGAUGCAGAAAAAGCUUAUGCACGCCUUUUAGAGGAUAAUCCUCUUGACCAGGUGAUUCACAAGAG